CACCUCUAGCAUUACUAGUAUUAGAGGCACUGCCUGCCCAGUGACACACGUUUAACGGCCGCGGUACCCUGACCGUGCAAAGGUAGCAUAAUCACUUGUUCUUUAAAUAGGGACUCGCAUGAAAGGCACCACGAGGGUUUAACUGUCUCUUACUUUUAACCAGUGAAAUUGACCUGUCCGUGAAGAGACGGACAUAAGAUAAUAAGAUGAGAAGACCCUAUGGAGCUUUAAUCUAUUAAUGCAAUCAAAAAUCACACAAACCCACGGACCUUUAAACUACUACACCUGCAUUAAAAAUUUUGGUUGGGGCGACCUCAGAGCACAACAAAACCUCCGAACAACACAUGCUAAGACCACACAAGUCAAAGCAAACUAGCACUUACAAUUGAUCCAAUAAUUUGAUCAACGGAACAAGUUACCCUAGGGAUAACAGCGCAAUUCUAUUCUAGAGUCCAUAUCGACAAUAGAGCUUACGACCUCGAUGUUGGAUCAGGACAUCCUAAUGGUGCAGCAGCUAUCAAGGGUUCGUUUGUUCAACGAUUAAAGUCCU
rnacentral:rRNA from 1 species